rnacentral:rRNA from 1 species
CACAAGCGGUGGAUGAUGUGGAUAAUUCGAUGCAACGCGAAAACCUUACCUACCCUUGACAUGUCCGGAAUCCUGCAGAGAUGCGGGAGUGCCCGAAAGGGAAUCGGAACACAGGUGCUGCAUGGCUGUCGUCAGCUCGUGUCGUGAGAUGUUGGGUUAAGUCCCGCAACGAGCGCAACCCUUAUCAUUAGUUGCUACGCAAGGGCACUCUAAUGAGACUGCCGGUGACAAACCGGAGGAAGGUGGGGAUGACGUCAAGUCCUCAUGGCCCUUAUGGGUAGGGCUUCACACGUCAUACAAUGGUCGGUACAGAGGGUUGCCAAGCCGCGAGGUGGAGCCAAUCCCAGAAAGCCGAUCGUAGUCCGGAUUGUUCUCUGCAACUCGAGAGCAUGAAGUCGGAAUCGCUAGUAAUCGCGGAUCAGCAUGUCGCGGUGAAUACGUUCCCGGGUCUU